GCAAGUCGAACGAUGAAGCCCAGCUUGCUGGGUGGAUUAGUGGCGAACGGGUGAGUAACACGUGGGUGAUCUGCCCUGCACUUCGGGAUAAGCCUGGGAAACUGGGUCUAAUACCGGAUAGGACCUCGGGAUGCAUGUUCCGGGGUGGAAAGGUUUUCCGGUGCAGGAUGGGCCCGCGGCCUAUCAGCUUGUUGGUGGGGUAACGGCCCACCAAGGCGACGACGGGUAGCCGGCCUGAGAGGGCGACCGGCCACACUGGGACUGAGACACGGCCCAGACUCCUACGGGAGGCAGCAGUGGGGAAUAUUGCACAAUGGGCGCAAGCCUGAUGCAGCGACGCCGCGUGAGGGAUGACGGCCUUCGGGUUGUAAACCUCUUUCAGUACCGACGAAGCGCAAGUGACGGUAGGUACAGAAGAAGCACCGGCCAACUACGUGCCAGCAGCCGCGGUAAUACGUAGGGUGCGAGCGUUGUCCGGAAUUACUGGGCGUAAAGAGCUCGUAGGCGGUUUGUCGCGUCGUCUGUGAAAACCCGCAGCUCAACUGCGGGCUUGCAGGCGAUACGGGCAGACUUGAGUACUGCAGGGGAGACUGGAAUUCCUGGUGUAGCGGUGAAAUGCGCAGAUAUCAGGAGGAACACCGGUGGCGAAGGCGGGUCUCUGGGCAGUAACUGACGCUGAGGAGCGAAAGCGUGGGUAGCGAACAGGAUUAGAUACCCUGGUAGUCCACGCCGUAAACGGUGGGCGCUAGGUGUGGGUUUCCUUCCACGGGAUCCGUGCCGUAGCUAACGCA
rnacentral:rRNA from 1 species